rnacentral:misc_RNA from 2 species
AUCUAUCAAGCUAGGAUGCUUUUUAUGCCUCCUGGUUUGGUUUAUUGGGCUUUGCCGUGUCCUUCACCGGGAAAUGGCUGGCCUUAAAAGUAUUAGCUGACUCAUGUGGGGUUGGUUUUUCUACUUGGCGUGAUAAUAAUCUGACCGCUGAGGAAGCAUCCCCUCUGGGGGUGGCCAAUUUUCAUGUGGGUUGCUCCUAAUCUUCUGGGGCUUGUAAAGUUCCAUCUUCAA